rnacentral:rRNA from 1 species
UACGUAGGUGGCAAGCGUUGUCCGGAUUUACUGGGCGUAAAGGGCGUGCAGGCGGUCUGUUAAGUCUAGGGUGAAAGCUCCCGGCUCAACUGGGGAGAGGUCCUUGGAUACUGGCGGACUUGAGGGAGGCAGAGGAGAAUAGAAUUCCCGGUGUAGUGGUGAUAUGCGUAGAUAUCGGGAGGAAUACCAGUGGCGAAGGCGGUUCUCUGGGCCUUACCUGACGCUGAGACGCGAAAGCGUGGGGAGCGAACGGAG